rnacentral:rRNA from 1 species
AUUGAACGCUGGCGGAAUGCUUUACACAUGCAAGUCGAACGGCAGCACGGACUUCGGUCUGGUGGCGAGUGGCGAACGGGUGAGUAACAUAUCGGAACGUAUCCAAUAAUGGGGGAUAACUAAUCGAAAGGUUGGCUAAUACCGCAUACGCCCUACGGGGGAAAGCAGGGGAUCUUCGGACCUUGCGUUAAUGGAGCGGCUGAUAUCUGAUUAGCUAGUUGGUGAGGUAAAGGCUCACCAAGGCGACGAUCAGUAGCUGGUCUGAGAGGACGACCAGCCACACUGGAACUGAGACACGGUCCAGACUCCUACGGGAGGCAGCAGUGGGGAAUUUUGGACAAUGGGCGCAAGCCUGAUCCAGCCAUUCCGCGUGAGUGAAGAAGGCCUUCGGGUUGUAAAGCUCUUUCGCAAGGGAAGAAAACGUACUUUCUAAUAAAGAGUGAGGUUGACGGUACCUUGAUAAGAAGCACCGGCUAACUACGUGCCAGCCGCCGCAGUAAGAC